UACGGCCACAUCACUUUGAAACACCGCUUCCUGUAAUAUCACCGAAGUUAAGCAACAUUGAGCCGGGUCAGUACCUAGAUGGGUGAACGCUUGGGAAAUCGAGGUGCUAUA